UACGAGGGGGGCGAGCGUUGUUCGGAAUUAUUGGGCGUAAAGGGUGCGUAGGCGGUUUGGUAAGUCUUAUGUGAAAUCUACAAGCUCAACUUGUAGUCUGCAUGAGAAACUGCCGGGCUUGAGUGUGGGAGAGGUGAGUGGAAUUCCUGGUGUAGCGGUGAAAUGCGUAGAUAUCAGGAGGAACACCUGUGGCGAAAGCGGCUCACUGGACCAUAACUGACGCUGAUGCACGAAAGCUAGGGGAGCAAACAGG
rnacentral:rRNA from 1 species